rnacentral:lncRNA from 1 species
GGCGGCCCCUGCACCUUCAGGACCAGCUUCCUCCCUGGAGGCAAGGAGCUGCCGGGAGUCAGGCGGGUGCUUUGUCCCUCUGAUGGUGAUGCAUGGCCCCGCUAACUCGCUGUGCGAGGCUGUUAAUUGUGGCACAGCUGCGGUGACAGCCCUCCAGGCGCUGGGCAAUGCUGGGCUGCGGAGCUUGCUGCAAAUCAACACCAUUUGUUGUGCAGGACGUGUUUCAUUCCCACACGACACGCAUAGCUCAUCACCUCGCUGCAGUAAGGGGGAGAGGUGGUCUGCCCGCCGGCCCUGCCUGGUCCACUGGAGCCCACUGCUGUGGGGAGGACACCAGCCUGACCCUCCAGCGUUCAGGGUGAUGGGGGGUCCUGAGUGACAGUCCCAGCCCCUCUCUGCUGGUCCCUGCAAAAAAGCCAGGCUCCAGGCAGACACACAGCAGCCCCUCUGUCUGGCCUGUCCAGCUCUGUGGCCUCAGGGAAGCAACUUGACCUCUCUGAGCUAUUUCUUCAACUGUGUAGACAUGUGCCUGCC